UAAUACAGAGGUCUCAAGCGUUGUUCGGAUUCAUUGGGCGUAAAGGGUGCGUAGGUGGUGCUGUAAGUCAGGUGUGAAAUCUCGGGGCUCAACCCCGAAACUGCACUUGAUACUGCAGUGCUCGAGGACUGGAGAGGAGAUUGGAAUUCAUGGUGUAGCAGUGAAAUGCGUAGAUAUCAUGAGGAAGACCAGUGGCGAAGGCGGAUCUCUGGACAGUUCCUGACACUGAGGCACGAAGGCCAGGGGAGCAAACGGGAUUAGAUACCCCGGUAGUCCUGGCAGUAAACGGUGCACGUUUGGUGUGAGCGGAUUCGACCCCGCUUGUGCCGGAGCUAACGCGUUAAACGUGCCGCCUGGGGAGUACGGUCGCAAGAUUA
rnacentral:rRNA from 1 species